GCAGCUGUGGCCGAGUGGUUAAGGCGAUGGACUAGAAAUCCAUUGAGAUGAUGCUCCACGUAAGGUUCGAAUCUACCGGCUGCG